rnacentral:ribozyme from 15 species
AGCCCCAAAAAAAAUCUAAAGAAAGAAUUGCGGAAGAAGACCCGAAGAAAAUAUGGAAAAAAACACCACCGAUUUGUCGAUUUCAAGC